GGAGGAGGGCUGAGGUCUCCUGGCGGGUUGUGGCCGUGUGUGGAAGGCCGCUCCCAGGUGGUACGUCCUGCGGUCUCCGUCUGUUCUGUACAGUCUGGUUCGGUCAGUCUCCCGUGUCUCCCCUUUUGUGGCUCUUGUCGUGGUGGGGUGUCAGCUGUCCUCGCCAAAGGACGUGUAUAUGGACGGUUCGUCACCCUGGGCGUAUAACAUUAUAUAAUGCAAGUUUUUUUUUUUUUUUUUAAUUCUUUAUUUUUGAACGUGCAUGAGAUUACAAUACCUCCUGCAUUGCCACAACAGCAAAUGCGAGGAUUUGCAGUACAUUCAAUGAUACAUGUAGGUUGACAUUGAGAACUGUUAGAGACAAUACUUUGCAUCAUUUGAGAGAACAGCACGAAAUUUUAUAUUUAAAGUAUGGUGACUAGUUAAACAUAACACUUGUUUGUCUGGGCAGAGAGUGUCUUAGUGACGAGUCGAGUUAGGCAAGUUAGUAAGAACGAUUAAGCCUCACAACACUGGUGGAGGAAAAACAAGAGUGACCAAAGUAAUGUAGUGGAGUAAUAUAGUGGCACCUUGUUAAGUUAUAUAUAUCCCGCAGGCUAAACAGGCUAGACAGUAAAAGUCUGGAGUGACUAGUGAAGGGAAGUAGCUAAAUUUGGUUAUAUACCUGAUGAUGGCAAUUUAAGCAAGGUAGGAGUAUAUACCCCUUGCUACUGCAUGGUUUUGUUUGGUUAUGGUCUGAGCAUUUUAGGAGUUCUGGCAGUGGGCUCCCUUUUUUUUUUUUCCGUUUUUUUCCGUUUCCCUUUCCCUUUCCUUUCGCACAAUUUUAGCUUAUAAACAGCAUUGAGGUUGUACGUAAAUUGGGCAGUGGCAUGAGAAAUGCACAGUGUUAUACGUAUAGUUAUGCCAAUCAUCAGCCUGGCUAUCCCGUUUUGUCAUUAGAAUAUAGCGCAAAGAUAAGUUUAAAGGUAAGCUCAGACAGGUUUAGUAAAAUGAGAGUAGUAAUCUGGCUAUGCAUGCUGCUUGAAACAAUUGAGCUUGUGUUCCUAUUACUAUUUGUGGUCAGACAUUGCAAGCAGUCAAUAUUGAUAUAAGAUGGCUAGUCCUGUCCCACUGCCUGGCUACGGGCCAGCAGAGCCUAUGAGGCAUCCAAACAGGGUGGGGACACGUAAUGAGACUAGUACAAUUGUACAUUAAUAGUUACGCAGGAGUUAACUUGAGGUAACCAUGAGAUAUAAGGUAUGAACCAGUGAUCACAGGCUAAGCUAAGAUGUCUGUGCAAUAUUCAGACGUUUUGCGUGCUAAACAUAAAUUAUAGCAUGGCUCAGUGGUGAAAUUUAGGUACUCGCCGUAGAACCAAAAAAAAACAAUUAACAUAAAACAAGAACAAUAAUAACCAUUGGGUAGCUAGUCGUUUCAACAUAUGGGUACCGUAAGCAUUGUAUGCGUGCUCUGAGCGUCCUUGAGAGCUUUGUAGCCGAUGCCAAGAGCUUAACUGCCAGAGUCAACCAAAAUGCAAGCAGCCCAGCGUUUUAUGGCAACUGGUAUAUGAUCUACGUAGUAACAAAACAAAGCAAAAAAAAAUUAAAAUAAAUAAAGUUCCGCAAAGUUCAGUAGCCAUUCUUCAGAUGCCUAGAGAAAGUGGGGUUUUGCUUCGGUCUUCGUCAGACCUCCCAGGAGACUUUUCCACUUGGAAUGCGCCGCUCUGUGUGUCGGUAGUGCGUGGGUGCAGUCCAGGUAAUGAGCAGAUCAGCCGAUGCCCCGGGGUGGGAGGCUGGAAGUGGGUGGAUGCUGAAGAUUUAUGUGGUCACUGAGGCGUAGGUGACCGGCGUGGUGCUCCGCGGUCUGAAUGGGGCACUGUUUGCUGGGUCCCAGCUGUGAGUCGGGGUGGCGGGGGCACAAGGUCCCGCUUGUAGGCGUGAGUCCAGUGAUGGAUCUAGGGUGUGCAGAAGGGCCUCUGCGUCUUGCAUACUGUAAAUUUGGUGUGUUGUUUCGCCUUGUUGUACCUGGAGCAAGUGUGAGGGCCGCCAGCGAUACGGUAUGUUGUUGCGCCGGAGUGUGGAGGUGAGAGGCCGCAUUGACCUGCGCCACGCCAGAGAUAAUACAAGUUAAUACUUAAACUUUAACGUAUAUAUUCGAAC